rnacentral:rRNA from 1 species
CCUACGGGAGGCAGCAGUGGGGAAUAUUGGACAAUGGGGGGAACCCUGAUCCAGCGACGCCGCGUGAGUGAAGAAGUAUUUCGGUAUGUAAAGCUCUAUCAGCAGGGAAGAAAGAAAUGACGGUACCUGACUAAGAAGCCCCGGCUAACUACGUGCCCGCAGCCGCGGUAAUACGUAGGGGGCAAGCGUUAUCCGGAUUUACUGGGUGUAAAGGGAGCGUAGACGGCAGUGCAAGUCUGGAGUGAAAGGAGGGGGCUCAACCCCCGGACUGCUCUGGAAACUGUACGGCUGGAGUGCAGGAGAGGUAAGUGGAAUUCCUAGUGUAGCGGUGAAAUGCGUAGAUAUUAGGAGGAACACCAGUGGCGAAGGCGGCUUACUGGACUGUAACUGACGUUGAGGCUCGAAAGCGUGGGGAGCAAACAGGAUUAGAUACCCCAGUAGUC